GACGAACGCUGGCGGCGUGCCUAAUACAUGCAAGUAGAACGCACAGUUUAUACCGUAGCUUGCUACACCAUAGACUGUGAGUUGCGAACGGGUGAGUAACGCGUAGGUAACCUGCCUGGUAGCGGGGGAUAACUAUUGGAAACGAUAGCUAAUACCGCAUAAUAUUAAUUAUUGCAUGAUAAUUAAUUGAAAGGUGCAAUUGCACCACUACCAGAUGGACCUGCGUUGUAUUAGCUAGUAGGUGAGGUAACGGCUCACCUAGGCGACGAUACAUAGCCGACCUGAGAGGGUGAUCGGCCACACUGGGACUGAGACACGGCCCAGACUCCUACGGGAGGCAGCAGUAGGGAAUCUUCGGCAAUGGACGAAAGUCUGACCGAGCAACGCCGCGUGAGUGAAGAAGGUUUUCGGAUCGUAAAGCUCUGUUGUAAGAGAAGAACGGGUGUGAGAGUGGAAAGUUCACACUGUGACGGUAUCUUACCAAAAAGGGACGGCUAACUACGUG
rnacentral:rRNA from 1 species